rnacentral:rRNA from 1 species
CUGACGAGUGGCGGACGGGUGAGUAACGCGUAGGAAUCUGCCCAAUAGUGGGGGGACAACCCGGAGAAAUCCGGGCUAAUACCGCAUACGCCCUACGGGGGAAAGGAGGGGAUCUCUUCGGAGACCUUUCGCUAUUGGAUGAGCCUGCGUCGGAUUAGCUUGUUGGUAGGGUAACGGCCUACCAAGGCGACGAUCCGUAGCUGGUCUGAGAGGACGAUCAGCCACACUGGGACUGAGACACGGCCCAG